UUGAACGCUGGCGGCAUGCUUUACACAUGCAAGUCGAACGGCAGCGCGGGCUUCGGCCUGGCGGCGAGUGGCGAACGGGUGAGUAAUACAUCGGAACGUGCCCAGUAGUGGGGGAUAGCUCGGCGAAAGCCGGAUUAAUACCGCAUACGACCUGAGGGUGAAAGCGGGGGAUCUUCGGACCUCGCGCUAUUGGAGCGGCCGAUGGCAGAUUAGCUAGUUGGUGGGGUAAAGGCCUACCAAGGCGACGAUCUGUAGCUGGUCUGAGAGGACGACCAGCCACACUAGGACUGAGACACGGCCCAGACUCCUACGGGAGGCAGCAGUGGGGAAUUUUGGACAAUGGGCGAAAGCCUGAUCCAGCAAUGCCGCGUGUGUGAUGAAGGCCUUCGGGUUGUAAAGCACUUUUGGCGGGAACGAAAAGGACUGUGCCAAUACCACGGUUCGAUGACGGUACCCGCAGAAUAAGCACCGGCUAACUACGUG
rnacentral:rRNA from 1 species